rnacentral:rRNA from 1 species
UACGAAGGGGGCUAGCGUUGCUCGGAAUCACUGGGCGUAAAGCGCACGUAGGCGGAUUCUUAAGUCGGUGGUGAAAUCCUGGAGCUCAACUCCAGAACUGCCUUCGAUACUGAGAGUCUUGAGUCCGGGAGAGGUGAGUGGAACUGCGAGUGUAGAGGUGAAAUUCGUAGAUAUUCGCAAGAACACCAGUGGCGAAGGCGGCUCACUGGCCCGGUACUGACGCUGAGGUGCGAAAGCCAGGGGAGCAAACGGG